AACGGCCAUACCAUGCUGAAUAUAUCGGUUCUGGUUCGAUUACGGAAGUCAAGCAUCAUCGAUGUGGUCAGUAUUUGGGAGGGUGACCACCUGGGAACACCGCGUGCCGCUG